GUGGCCUGCAGCUUCCUCCUCUGCUGGUAGCAUUCAGCGCUGUCACUCCCAGAAGGAUGAGCAGGGUUUCUGCCUCAGCUUCCUUACUUACACAGCCUCAUGGAAGAAGGAAGGAAAGGGAAAUCACUGAGCAUACAUUUAUUGAACAGGAUAGACUUUCUGAAGCUGAAGACUUUAAUUUGCUGCCGAUCAGAAAAGAGAGGAGCUGGCCAUCACAAUCUCACUGAUGGAUAUACCUGAUGGACAAUUUGGCUUUCCCAGCUGUCUCCUGAAGAGCAGAAUUAUGGAGCCCAGAAGACUAAAAUCCAGUGAGUGGUACAUAUGUGGAAAAGCAGCUGUUUUAAAAUACCUUACGUUGGAGCUGGUAAUAGAUUAACUCUUGCUUUUACUACUUGGCAGAAAAUCGAGAAUAAAUUUCUCUGGAUGAAUUAGGACCUUGUUUAACUUCCAGCAGAAAAAUGAGGAGUUCUAGAAAAGUUGAUGGACUGCUUUCAAUUUUAUAAUGCAGAAAAACAAGCUGUUAACCUACAGAAAUAAUAACCAUGUGCUGUUGUGACUUGUUCUCUGCUUGUCUUCAGGCCCCGAGUGUUUGUAUUGGGAGAGAAUGCUAACUUUAUUGCUGGUGCCAGGGUUUCCUUUAUUUGCUUUUGACAUUUCACGUGUUUGUACUGUGGUGCCUGGCAACUUAUAUCACAAACUAAUUGGAGUAAGUGAUGAUUAAUAAAAUAAAGAAAAAUGAGGGUCAGCAGUAUGGGAGGGCAGGCAAUAAUAUGGGCCGUGACUCACUGAGGUAUGCAAAAAGCACAGGCGGCGGAAGGAAGGGAGUUAAGAACAGAUCACAUUACUGGCCCACCUCAGCCUCGGUGGGCAGUCAGCUGGCACAGGCAAACUAGAGCCAUUUCUUUAGCCAGUGCAAACAAAGAUGUCACAUGACUGUCCGUGCUUCCCGAGCCUUUGGGUAUGUCUGGUGGGUGGCUGCCGUCUGACUGGAGCCCAUAGGCUGUGGAUGCAGACCAGCUCCAGACAUGAGCUGUGUCGUUGGGUGAGCUUGAUCCCAUGUCUGCCUUUCUGCAGAGCUUGUUUGCUUGAGCACAGUGCUGCACUAACAUUGUGGCACAUCACGCACCUCUGGGCUGACUCGCAUCCGGCAGCCUCUGAGCACGGGCCAGACAAGCAUUCAUCCACCUUCUCACAGCUGCACUGAGCUCUCCCAAACCAGAGCUUUACUACUCGGCUUAUCUGAAAGGUGAUCCAGAUGAAAAUCUCAAGUGCAAGUCCAUUCCUCUUGUUACCUCCAGAGACACAGCACUGCUUUGCCUUCAUUCUCUAAGUGACAAAAAAAGGGGCAGUGAAAGUUAUGCCCCUGAAAGUCCUAACAAGUGGAGGUACUGGAAGACGCACUGUGACAAGGAGGAUGAAUGAAGGUAUCUGCUGCAAUCUAUACUGAGAGAUACAUUUGAGGAACUAGAUUUAGUGUCUUCUUACUGAAUGUGAUUCGCUCUGUUCCUCUCCUUCUAUUCUUUUUCUCCCAGAGGAAUGGUGAGAAUAGGAAACUUCUAACAGCAAAGGAUGCUUCUGUCAGACUGUUAACUCCCUGAGAGUAAUAACAUGGAAACUGUUGUCUGGCAUUUUCUAUGUUGCUUCCACACUUACAAAACAAAGUGUAACAGUGCUACAAUUCCUUCUUUAUGUUGCCAGCUAAAGAAUUGAUGGAGGAAAAAUAAAUAAUUCUCUCUUUUCAAAAUAAAGGCUGAAAUAAAAGAGGUGAUGAGAAAUUUACUUCCUUUGCUUUCCUUCCUUAGCCAAGAAUUCAAGUUCAUUAGGGCAUCUAAGGAAAACAAUGCAGGAAGGCCCUAUAGCAGUGUGCUGUAAACAUUCUCCACGUGAUUUUCCUCCCUUUUACUGAGUUGACCAUGGGCUGCACUCUUAUUAUUUGCUAUUGCAAAUUGUGAAGUUUCUCCACUUCCUUAAUUUUAACCUUCUCAGCCCCUGAUAUUCAUUUUAUACUGAAGAAUAACAUUUCAAAUGGAAGAACAAAAUCUUACUUUGUCAUUCUGCUGCCAAUCCUCUGCUCAGCUGUGCAAGAUUUUUCCACCAAUGAAACACAGACCCAAAUACUCACCUCUCAGCAGUAGGCCUCCCUUCAAGAUGUGUCCUGCUGACACCCUUUCUGAUGUAUGCUUGAAACACACUGCAGUCUGCAGUCAUGUCACAUUACCUCACUAAUCAGCACAUAUGACUGCUAUGCCAAUGAACUUAGCCUCCUAUUAACACAGACUAUCCUGAUGCAUAACCUUUUUCAUAAAUUUAAUAGUAUUGUUUGGAAAACUAUUCAGAGUUCUCCCUAUUGCUUUCACUGACCACCUUUCCCUCCAGCAUACCCAGUUAGAAACCAUUUUCUAGCUUGCACUUUUUGCUUCCAGUUUUCCCUACUUUUCUAAACAUUUUAUUUAAGCAAGAGCCUAUCCUACCCCUUUUGGUAUUCUCACACAUGAUUCUCUGCAUCUAAGGCUAGCAGAGAUUCACUUUGCAGUCACUGUAUUUUACAUGCCUGAAGGCAAGUCUGAAACCCCAAAUGGGAAGGCCCAAAGCAAGGUACUGAGCUGAUUUAUUGUCUAAAACACUAAGGGUAGCUGUACUGAGUAGGUUUUGAAUAGUUUGUACCAGGUCAUAAAUAAGACUGUGUUGAGCACAUGGAAGACUGACUCUAAGAAAUCAUGAAGCGUGUUUGUUUAUUUCUAAAGAUAAGUAUUGGGUACCAUCCUUGUAAUGCCCUCUGCGAGAACUGAGCAGAAGAAGGCAAAAACAGUGUUUAGUUUUAGAGGUUAGAGGAUUUUAGCAAUGAUCAGCUUUUUUCAUUCACUUACAUAUGGUCUUACAGGAUGAACAGGUUGUAAGCUGUGUAAAUAGCGUAACAGAAUGUGAACAAAGAGAAAAGACUGGAUAUUUUCCUCAAGCUCAGGAUGUCAGGGCAAAUACAGGCAGCUUUAGAUUGUGUUUUGAUGUACCGUAAGAAGUUUUAAAAAGUUUGUAGUAGGCCAGCAUUGGACAAAUCUGCAUGGUAUGAAUGACUAAAUGAAAUCCAGUGGACCAGAAUAUUGGAAAUUAGAUUUUCUAUACAGUGUGUGAUUUUUGUAUUUUUUUUAGUACACAUCACAAACACAUAUUUAGCAGUAUCAAACUGAAAACAACUUAUUUCCGUGAGCAUGGGACAAAAGGCAAGUAAGCGGCUACUUCUCUACCUGACUUCAUUUUACUUAUCCAUGUUUAGCUGUACGGUGCUGCAGUCCUAAGACCAGUCUGAGUUCAGGCAACCUGCAGAUCCCAUCCCAUACUAAUCCUGUGCAGUACACUACUUCAGGAUCCUUCUAGGAGAGUGAUCACAUUUGCUUCAUCUUCCUGCUGCAACUAGAGAAGCACACAAAAUAUGUGGCUGCUCUAAUAUGCAGAUAUAGCAAAAGUCCUGUCUUUCUCCUAUUAUAUACACCAAACAAUAUUUACAGAUUGUAUAUAGAAGAGGACUUAAAUCUAUCAGGACAGAUAUAGAGUUUAGUAGCAAGUACUACACCAGUCUAUUCAGAAAAAAUACUUUGAAAAAUAAAAGAUAAAAAGGUAGAUACAUUUUGAAAAUAUUUCUUGUUUAUUACCACAUCCUCACUAUUUUCUUCAUGACAAAAAAAAUGGUAUACUUUUGUAGAGGUUUACAUCACUGUAGGUUUUUAUCAUUUAUUCAUAUAGACUUAGAUGUAGAACAUGUGCCUUACGGCACUCCCAUUGAACACAGAUGCAAGGAUUUGGCUUUGCCUUUAUAAUUGUUUCUGUUAUAAACCCCUAUUUCAGAGUUCAGAUUUUGGUUAUAAAAAACGCUUCCAGAAUAUAAUCUGGCAUCUAAGGGAUCUGUCAGGGAACAUUUAUUGCUAGUUUGACUUCAGUGUGGCUUUUUUAAGUUACAGAUGUGCUUAAAGAGUAUUAUCCAUGCUUUCAGAUUUUUGAAGAUUUAAGGUAACUUUCAAUUGCAAAUGGAAGUCACCACACUAUAAUGUGGAAUGAAAGCAUUGUGUUUAGAUAAAAAUACCAUAAAAACCCUAAAUGCUCACUUGAGUUUUUUUUCUAAAUAAUGAGUGUAGUUACUUCAUAACAGACUUGCACUAAGGAUAAAUUACAUCCUUGCUGUGCUCAAGGGAAUAUGCUUUUCACUAAGAAAAGUAAAAUGAUCUAGUUUCCUCUAACAUAUUUACUAUGCUUCAAACAGUUAAUCAGAUUAAAACUGCCCAUUCUAGAUAUAUGGGUUUCUGCUAUUCUGGGCUCUCCACAGAUAAACUGAGCCAAUCCCAAAAGUCUUUACUUAUGUCAGCUCAUUUGAAGUCUGCAUGGAAGAGCAAUUUCCUUGGCAUCUGAGAAACACGACAAUUUUGUCAAAAAACUCUGACUGAAAUCUUUUAUCUAUUGUAGAGCUUAAGCAUCCCAGAGGUAUUGCUUGGACUCUUUGACAAGGGUCCAGAAUUAGCCAUACACACAACGAAGGUACGUCUGCUUAAUCAGUCACUCCUAUUAGUAGUAGUACUUAACAAAGUUGGGUCAGGCAGGUGGUGAGGCCCACUUGACAUGCUGAAUUACUUCUUCCUGGCAUAUAUUAAGUUGCACCUGGAGCAAAAGAAUGAAUUGUCUGAUGCUGUUGCAUUUCAUCACCUAUAGCAACUGACAUAAUAAAAAACGCUUUUAAAUGAUCUUCCUGAGGCCUAAGGUUUCAAAAUUUUUCUGGGAUUUGAAUAUGCCUCUAGAAGAAAAUAUCUCCUGGUCACAACUAGUAGGUGAAACAGCUGAGAGUGUUAUUCAAUAAAAAGCAUCAUUCUUAAUGUUAGAAGAGCUCAACAUUCACCCAAAAAGCCAGUACUGCUAAAAGCAAUGCCUGGGAAGAUGCAUAAGGGAGGUAAAGUUUAUCCAUGUGAAAAAAAGCAAAAAGAAGAAUAAACUCAAACUUCCAUCAUUACAUCAGAAAAUGCACACUUUGUAAUAGCAGUAAGAGAUAAAAGAUUUAAAUUCUUUCUACUCUGCAGAAAAAAAUGCUCUGGUACUGAAAUGAUAUUGAACAUCAGAGUAAUAUAAAUGUCACACAUAACCACACUAUUGACUUUGCAGUAUCUUUAUUUACAAAAAGUUGGUGCAAAUGACUGUGUCUUCAAUUUCUUAGGUUCCCUGUGUUCCCCUCAAAUUCAGUGGGAAUAAAGUGUAAAAUCUCCAAAUCCAGACUAAGCCAUUAGAACUGGACUUGGCAAAUUAACUCUUCUUGUGCGUUUAGAUUUAGGAAAGUGAAUUUAUUGUGUAAUAAUUGCAAUAAAUGUGCAUGUCUGCUCAGUAUUCAUUACCCUAUUUGAUUUUUCUUUGAAAACUUCUACUUGCCAUUAUGAUCUAUGACAGAGAGGAACUAUCUCCAUGGUUUGCUCGUUGGCAAAGUGAGUUCUGGCUGUGAAGUAGCGUGACUUCAUGUAUUACGGUUAUCAGGUAUAGCAGUCAGUUAUAAAGAGUCCUUGUUGCUAAGCAGGCUCCUAUUAUGUAAAGAACCACUUCACAAUUAAUGUCAUCUUUAAAGAAGAAUUGAUUAAGAAUUGACUUGAUAACCAAGUUUCUUGUUUGGGGUGAGGUGGGAACAGUUAGCAGAGCUGUCCAAUUUGUGUGGCUUGAAUGGCCCAUCAAGGUUUGAAAAUGUGGGUUUAUUUUUUAAGCGAUUUUACAGAGUUUAGGCACAUGGAUAUUUUUUAUUCUAACAGGAUUGCAGUUUCUAAGAUGUGGAUAUUAAACUAUCUUCUGUAAGUUUGUAAACUACUUGAGAUUUUCUGACUGAAACAGAUCAUGAACUAAUUAACAUGUUAUUGUUCCUUCUCCUUUUCAGCGUUUUUAAACUAUUCCUCUUCUGAAUUCUUCAGUGCUUUUAUGGAUGUUCUGAGACCUGGAGAGCAAAUUCUGCCACCAGCAAUAGAUUUGUUAUUUGUAGAUAGCUUUCAUCUAAAUAAUUAGAUACCUCCUUAUUAUUAAUGAAGAACGGGAUAAAAAUCAACAUCACAGUUAUUACAAAAAAUAAUAAUAAUUUUUCAUUCGUAAAUAUGGAUUAUACACUAAUUUUCAUCCAUAAAUAUUAAAAUUCUUUAUAAAGUCUUUGAUAUUUCCAUUUUACAGAUGCCCAAUGUUUAAGGUGUAUGAUAAGUAAUACAAUGAAAAGCUCUUGAAUUCUAGCUUAGUUCAACAUUCAUUAGACUAUCUUGCAAGUCUACAUAAUACAGCACAUAUUUUAAUACCAUACAGUGAGUAUAAAGUAAAUCUAAAAAGGAGGUAGUGUAGUACAGAUGCUCAAACUGAUGACCUUAUCAAACAUGACCAAAAUUCCAAGUUUAAGGAACUUAUUUAGACAAAAACACUGAAUUAAAAGGAUAAUUAAAGGAAAUAUUGAAGAAUGAAAACGCAGAAUAAGCCGAAUGUAAAAUCUGAGUAUGUUUUGUCAUGUACUGAAACUCAGCAUUUUAAAAAGAGCAUAGGAUGGCAGGAAAAAUAAGUGUAGAGAUGCAGGAUAGUGAGUAUCCAUAUCCUUUUUUUUUUUUUUCUUUUUUUUCUUUUUUUUUCCUAUUAGGAAGGCAUCAUUUAAAUGACUGCAAACUUUUACAUGGAAUAUUGCUUUACUAGAAAAUGCUGAUUUCAUUAAAUUAUUUGCAGGAAUGUAGACAUACAUAGUGGAUGAAAAUGUCCUUCUCUGGCUCCUAUGCAGAACCCCUCUCUGAGCUUCAGGAUUGUCAACAGACCACCUGGAGGGAUAAGUCUUAGCCAAGAACAUAGAAGCUUUGAGAGGCAUGAUCUCCCCGUCCUUCUUGGCUUCUUGCAGCUCACUUGGUCCUCAUCUUGUGAGAGAGCUGUCUGCACCUAUUAUUACUGCUGCUGAACCGUCUUGAGAGAAAGGCCCAAAUCAAAACCACAGCAUAAGCAAUUAAGAGCAUCAUAAAAACUUUUUUCUAUUCCAACAGACUCUGCAUUUUAGAAAGACAAAGCUGAUUAGCAUCAUGGCUUACUCUCAUUUAUUUUUCAGAAUAUAAGAAGCUUGAUUUUCCUUUUAUUUAUUUGUUUGUUUAUUUAUGAACUCCUAAAGAUCUCUGACUAUUUGCUGGUGAAAUCUUGUCCCUAUUAAAGUAAAAAUAAGUAAAUAAAAUCAUUAGGACUUCACUACAUCCAGGCUCUCCUUGUCUGCAGUAGGAGUUUGUGGCUUUUAUGACAGAAUAGUUGAAUAGUUUCCAGCUUAUGAUUUUGUCAUGUUUUUUUCUUUCAAAAAAGUGACAUGGUUCAGAUCUAAUUGGAAAAAUAAAGCUUGUCAGCAGAACCAUCUUUGUGAUACAUCAAUUCAAUGAUCUCCCUAUGGUUCUUUCCUAUUUUUUAAUAUUCUCAUAUAUGUAAUGUACUAAGUGAUUAAAUUCAGCAUUUAAUACAGAUCCAUAAUAUAUGAUUGACCAGAUGGAUCCAGUCCUGCCAGCUCCUUUUAACUUUUCUCUCUUAGUUGGGGUCAGAUUCAUAUUUUCAGGAACUAUAUGUUAUUUGAGAGGAAAUUGGGUGAUGGGGAAGCAUAGGGGAGGAAGCUGCUUUCAAACACCGAUACAGGAAAAAGACAAAUGCCAGAAUGUGCAGCUGUGAUUUUUUAAAACAUUUUAGUUUAUGUCAACGGAGUGGCAGCACAGGAAAGAUGAAUAGUUCAUACACUUAGUAGAAAUAAAAUUGAGUAUCCUGAAUCAUGAAGUUUAAGGAUGCCACUGUAUAUUUAUUUAUUUAUUCAGUGGAAUAACUGGAUUAGAUUUUGACAUGUAUAAAGUAGUUGCUUUGUGACAGUUAGCUGUUAGAUUAUAUGACACUGGAAUUUUCCAUUUUUGCUUCCAUGGCUUCCACUUCUGUCAGCACUUGGAUAAUGCUUGGAAAUUCCUUUUCCAAUCCAGACUUACCUUCCCUGUGAUUUUUACACAGAAGAACAUGUUCAUUCUCCAGCUACAGUGCACAGUGCACUACUGACAAGAGGUGGAGAUAGGAAAGAGGUGGCCUACUGUCUGCUUGGCACGUUGAGUACUGGAUAGAUCUCUUAUACUCAUGUCUCAAGGACACCAGAUCUGGGAAAGAUCAAGGCUGGCCUUAACAUCUAUAGAGAACUGCACAGAAGAUAAAAAGAGAAGCAAAAAAAAAAAAAAAAACCAAAACAAUAAUCACAAAGAAAGGGAGAGGAAUGUAAUGAAAUAUUUGUGGGAAUGGUUUAACUUCCAAUUUCAGUAAAAAUAAUUUUUCACCCAAGUAUCAAGAGAUAAUAAACCAGAAAUUAAAUUCUUAAAAAACAAACAAUCAUCUUAGUGAUUUAUAACAUUGUUCCUUGAUCAUCAGCUGGAGAGUUAAAUUAUCUAGAUGAGAUACACAGUAAUGUGGGGUUACACAUCGUUUUUUUCCAAGAUAUAUGAGCACCAUGUGUUAUAACUUCCUUGAGGACUGCAUUGUGGUUAGGCCACUUUGUUGAUUUUUUUUUGUUUUUUUUUUAUGAGAGUUGUUGUUUUCUUAUGAGGAAAGACUAAUCUCACAAAGAAAAAGCAGUUCCUUAAAAUGCACUCUGGAUUUUAUUAGGCACAGAUUAGUACUAUUUCCUCACACUGUUACUCCUACAAUAUAGCUUCUGCACCCAUUCGUAAGCAAUAGCGUGACACAUCAUUAUGAAGCUCUAUGGACUGUGUUUUUAAUACUGUGAUUACAUAAGAAAGCACAUGUAAGUAAGGACCUGGUUCUGUACCCUCUUAAGUCAGUGGUGCAAUUCUGAACCACAUAAAUAAAUCAGAUUUAUAGUUGUGAACUUGACAUUAAUUUUAUUUUUAAAAGAAUAUGUAUCGUAUGAAGGUAUAUCAAGUUUAUGUUUGAAAUAAACAUCUAAUAUAUACAAUAUUAAAGAACAGAAUAUGCUUCCCACUGCCCCUUCCCUUCCCUUCCCUUC